rnacentral:lncRNA from 1 species
ACAGCAGGCUGAGAGACUACAACCGGGAAGGUGGUGACCUGGGGAACAAGGACAGCAUUCAGAGUCCAAGAGCAGGUAUGCUGCACAAUAGCAGGCUAGCGCAAAACAGAAAAUGACAGGGCUGAUAACGGUGAAAACUCAUAACUGGGACAUUGAGCAGGAGGUUGUAUUUGCGGGCUGUUGGGAAAGGUUGUCUCUUGUUUGCAUAGUGGCUGGUGAUGACAGAGAUUGAAGAGGUCUUACCGCUCUGUGGUUCCACAACCCAACGCCUGUGCAGCCAGGAUCUUGGCAGAGAAGUCUCUCCACUAUUUCCUGGAAAGCUACCUUUGUGGGGACACCAGUGAUGCCAACAUCUGCCCAGUACCGGGAUAUGUAGCAGUGGUGACGGGAUGGGGUGAUCAGAUCCUUGCUCUCCCUGUAACCCUGGCAUGAGCCCCCCCCCCCCUUUUAUCAUCUGAUUUCACCUAAGAAACAGGAGCAUCAGCCUC